rnacentral:lncRNA from 1 species
GAAUUGCAGCAGACUCAUUGGGCUACAUUUAGUAUAAGAAUCACAUAUUGAUGUUAAAGGACACAGUCUAGUGAUGCCACCAUCCUUGAGUAAGAACUACCUCUAGAUUGUGGUAAGCGUUUACUGUCCCUUAAACAGCGGCCACUAGUACCUUACGAACGCAGACUAACUUCUAAUGGCGGUUUGUCUUUCUGGCUCUCUGGGCGUCUGAAAGUUUUCACGUAGACCUUUAGCCUCCCGUCAGGACCAUUGCUUUCCAGCUUUGCUGCCUUUCUCUUUCUGUGUCAUAGACUGUGCCACUGUAAAUGCCACUCCGAACACCUUUAAACUGCCUCCUCCUUGUUUGUCAAGGGGAAGGCCACCUGUAAAAUGUGGUGGUGACAGCUUUCUUACUCACCCCAAGCUGGGGCCCCGCUGGAGAUCAGCUGCAGCCCACCGCCUCCCCACCUCACACCUCCAGGCUGUGUCAGUGGUGCAGGGCGGAGCUCACUGUGGCCUUACCUAUCUGUGCAGUAACUGUUCUUGGUUCCCUUCAGCCCUGCUCCUUUCCAAGCACCUCUCCUCAGCUGCCAUGGAAGCAGGGCACUGUGGUGUCAGACCGGAGCAGUUUGCAGUGCCGCUGUGCUUUCUGAGGGCCUAGAUUUAGGGUUUAGUGAAGUCGUUAACUGAGAACAGAUGAGAUGCUUUUGAAGAACAAACUAUUCCUUACCCAGCUUUGUAGCUUAAAGUAAGUUUUCAAGUUCAUGGCUUUAUUAAAAUGAACUUUGACUUUUUAAAAUGCUUAUAUCUCAUUUCGGUUCUUUUAUUUAUUUUAGUAAGAAUUGAAACAAUUAGACUAUAAGUCGUUUUCCUGUUUGUUUGUUUUUCUACAAAGUUCAAGAAUGUAACAAUAAAGGCAUUUUCCUAUGGUUCUAUGUCAGACUCCUACCGCAGAAUAGCCUGAACAGAUAUGUCUGUUUUACCAUGUUAUUGAUAGUUCUUUUGUCAGCUGCUUUUAUUAAAAGUCCUUUUUGUGGAUUUGUUAAAAAAAAUGAA